GAUGAACGCUGGCGGCGUGCUUAACACAUGCAAGUCGAACGGAGAGCUAUUGACGGAGUUUUCGGACAACGGAUAUAGUUUCUUAGUGGCGGACGGGUGAGUAACGCGUGAGGAACCUGCCUUUCAGAGGGGGACAACAGUUGGAAACGACUGCUAAUACCGCAUGAUGCAUGACCGGGGCAUCCCGGACAUGCCAAAGAUUUAUCGCUGAAAGAUGGCCUCGCGUCUGAUUAGCUAGUUGGCGGGGUAACGGCCUACCAAGGCGACGAUCAGUAGCCGACCUGAGAGGGUGACCGGCCACAUUGGGACUGAGACACGGCCCAA
rnacentral:rRNA from 1 species